rnacentral:tRNA from 1 species
GGCCCCGUAGUUCAAUGGAUAGAAUGGGGGAUUCCUAAUCCCUUGAUCCAAGUUCGAUUCUUGGCGGGGCUA